ensembl:snRNA U6 U6 spliceosomal RNA
GUGCUCGCUUCGGCGGCCCAUUUACUAAAAUUGGAACAAUGCAGAGAUUAGUAUGGCCCCUGCUCAGGGAUGACAUGCAGAUUCCUGAAGCUUCCACUUUGUUC